rnacentral:lncRNA from 1 species
AUGUUGGGCGGGGACAUCAACAGAAGUCGGCUCCAGGUGGCAACAGUUUGGCGGGUGCGGGGGCUGGGAACCCAGUCGCCCUGCUCGAGGCUCCCGACAGUCUCACCCUGUUGUGCCGUCUUGCUCCGGCUCAGCUGCCCUCACGGGGUCUGCAGCCAGCCACCGAACUGGCCCGGGCAGCUGUGCCCCACGUUACCACGCAUCAGAACGCUCUGGAACUGCAUUAAAAUAUUUCACAUCGAGAUUAGGCUCACAAUUACACGAGGUUAUGUUUAUACCGGCUUAUGGGAGGAAAAGGGCUUUAACGUGUUCCAAAAUGUCUCAUUUUAUAGGUGGGACAACCGCAGCUCAGGGAGCUCGGGGGACUCACCGGACGUCCCACGGCCAGGCGGGCCAGGUGGGAAGUGCCCGGCUGGCACCACCUCUCAGGCUAGUGCCUUUGACCCCGGGGGGCGGGCACAGCCAGCUCCAGCUGUUCGCACUGCUUGCCUGGUGGUAAGCAUGGGCUGUCAAAUUCCAGCUCUGCAGACACACGAUGGCAGGUGCUUGCCUGCUGGUGAUGCCCCGAGAGGUGGAGCACUGCCCACCUGUGGGGAGGACAGCGUGCGAUCCUCUGGCCUGGGAGGCUCUGAGCCAGCAGAGAGAUCCCGAGGAAUGGAGAACACCUCGAUCAAAGCUUGACCAAGCUCCUAACGCGCUGCCAAAUUAUAUUUUAAAAGGACGGUUCCAAUUGUCCAUCCCGCCAGCCCUGUUUGAGAGGUAUGCGAGUAGCUACAGAGAGCUACUGGGGCACCGGAGGGUCGGCUCAGAGAUCAGAGUGUCUGUUUGUUUUAAUUUUAUUAAUUUUAUCUAUCUAUCUAUCGAUCGAUUUAUUUAUUUAUUUAUUUAUUUAUUUAUUUAUUUUUGAUAUAAUUUAUUGUCAAGUUGACUAACAUAGAGUGUAAACGGUGAGCUCUUGGUUUUGGGGGUAGAUGCCCGUGACUCAUCGCUUAGAGUGCCUGCACCACAACACUCCCGACGUACCAACGGCACGGCCCAACACGAGCCAUUUAACCCCCACGGGCCUCAGUUUUCUCGUUUUUCCAAACGGAGAUGCCAUAGCGGCCUGGGAUGACCACUGGGGGUUGCAUGGAAGCGAUGACCCACGAGGACCUACCCGGCAAACCAACAGCACGCUUUACACACUGUAUGUUAGCCAAUUUGACAAUAAAUUGCAUUAAAAACAUAAAAGUGUAAUUACA